GACGAACGCUGGCGGCGUGCUUAACACAUGCAAGUCGAACGAAAAGAGGGAAAGAGCUUGCUCUUUCCGGAAUUGAGUGGCAAACGGGUGAGUAACACGUAAACAACCUGCCUUCAGGAUGGGGACAACAGACGGAAACGACUGCUAAUACCGAAUAAGUUCCAAGAGCCGCAUGGCCCAUGGAAGAAAAGGUGGCCUCUACCUGUAAGCUAUCGCCUGAAGAGGGGUUUGCGUCUGAUUAGCUGGUUGGAGGGGUAACGGCCCACCAAGGCGACGAUCAGUAGCCGGUCUGAGAGGAUGAACGGCCACACUGGAACUGAGACACGGUCCAGACUCCUACGGGAGGCAGCAGUGGGGAAUCUUCCGCAAUGGGCGAAAGCCUGACGGAGCAACGCCGCGUGAGUGAUGAAGGCCUUCGGGUUGUAAAACUCUGUGAUCCGGGACGAAAAGGCAGAGUGCGAAGAACAAACUGCAUUGACGGUACCGGAAAAGAAAGCCACGGCUAACUACGUG
rnacentral:rRNA from 1 species